rnacentral:lncRNA from 1 species
GGGCUCAGUUUCGUUUCGACUUUCAUACGGCGUAGUCGCGUCGCAACGACACGCGAUCGAUUUCAUACAUUAUUUAAAAUUGUACACGUGUUUUUUAAGUAUUUAAAGUAUGCAUAUUGUAUUCGCGAGUGUUUAAAGUACGUAUAUUGCAUUCACGUCUCGAUUUUUGUACGGUGUAGAUAUAUUGCAAUUAUGAUCGAUUUCAUACAUUAUUUAAAAUCAUACAGGUGUUUUUUUAAGUAUUUAAAGUAUGCACAUUGUAUUCGCGAUUGUUUAAUGUAUAUAUAUUGCAUUCUCGAGUAUUUUAAAGUACGUAUAUUGUAUUCGCGACUGUUUAAAGUGCGUAUAUUGUAUUCACGAUUAUGUUAGAAUACGCGCGUUUAUUCGUGAGUGUCGAUACGUUUCAUCUUUGCAAUGGAGGAUCGAGAAGGUAGUAACUAGCACGAAGUUAUCUACAAACGACUUUGUCACGGCGCAUGCUUGGAUCUGAUUAUCAUCGAUAGAUCAUUAUCAGGAAAAACAUUGUCAUAGAUCAUACGUUGCUAUUAAAUAAUCCUUCGCCAGUUUUAACAUGGAUCUUCUUGAAUCUAUCUUCAUCUUCUAUAAAAAGGGCAGGUGUUCCUAGACAGCAGGAAAUAAGGAAAGAAGAAAUUCCAAUUGCGUUAGAAGAAGGGACAUUCUGCAACGAUGAGACCUAAUAAUUUCGCAACGACAGGCGUCCUUCGAGUGUACCGUUAUGAAAAAAGA